rnacentral:rRNA from 1 species
AGAGUUUGAUCCUGGCUCAGGAUGAACGCUGGCGGUCUGCUUAACACAUGCAAGUCGAACGGACGUUUUCGGACGUUAGUGGCGGACGGGUGAGUAACGCGUGAGAAUCUGCCUUCAGGUUGGGGACAACAGUUGGAAACGACUGCUAAUACCCAAUGUGCCGAGAGGUGAAAGCUUUAGUGCCUGAGGAUGAGCUCGCGUCUGAUUAGCUAGUUGGAGUGGUAAUGGCACACCAAGGCGACGAUCAGUAGCUGGUCUGAGAGGAUGAUCAGCCACACUGGGACUGAGACACGGCCCAGACUCCUACGGGAGGCAGCAGUGGGGAAUUUUCCGCAAUGGGCGCAAGCCUGACGGAGCAAGACCGCGUGAGGGAGGAAGGCUCUUGGGUUGUAAACCUCUUUUAUCAGGGAAGAAGAUCUGACGGUACCUGAUGAAUCAGCAUCGGCUAACUCCGUGCCAGCAGCCGCGGUAAUACGGAGGAUGCAAGCGUUAUCCGGAUUUAUUGGGCGUAAAGCGUCCGCAGGUGGUUUUUCAAGUCUGCUGUUAAAGCGCGAGGCUUAACCUCGUAACGGCGGUGGAAACUGAGAGACUAGAGUAUGGUAGGGGUAGCGGGAAUUCCCAGUGUAGCGGUGAAAUGCGUAGAUAUUGGGAAGAACACCAGCGGCGAAAGCGCGCUACUGGGCCAUCACUGACACUCAUGGACGAAAGCUAGGGGAGCGAAAGGGAUUAGAUACCCCUGUAGUCCUAGCUGUAAACGAUGGAUACUAGGUGUUGCCCGUAUCGACCCGGGCAGUGCCGUAGCUAACGCGUUAAGUA